rnacentral:rRNA from 1 species
UACGGAGGGGGCUAGCGUUGUUCGGAAUUACUGGGCGUAAAGCGCGCGUAGGCGGACCUGCAAGUCGGGGGUGAAAGCCCGAGGCUCAACCUCGGAACUGCCUUCGAUACUGCGGGUCUCGAGUCCGGGAGAGGUGAGUGGAAUUCCUAGUGUAGAGGUGAAAUUCGUAGAUAUUAGGAAGAACACCAGUGGCGAAGGCGGCUCACUGGCCCGGUACUGACGCUGAGGCGCGAAAGCGUGGGAGCAAACAGG